GCUGGCCAUUUGAGAAUCUUUUAAUCAUUUCUUUUUGUACGUCAGUCUCUUUGCCCUCUGAGUCAUUUGUGCUCUCCUCUUAACUUCCUUCAGUUUGAGCUCAAUUGGAAAUAUGAUUAGCAUAUAGAUUUUUCCUGCUUCUGGCAAGGAUUUUUACACUGGAAAAAAGAGGCUAUACGUUUUGUAGAAAACUCAAGGUCUGACCCACCAAACUCCACUAUUGCCUUCCUGGACCAAUAUCCUUCUUCAAUAGCCAUUUUAUACAACGUUUUCUUCUGGUAAUGAGAAGUUAAUUGCAAGGCUUUGAUACAUUUGGAUGGGGAUGCAGUAAAAUUGAACAAACACAGCUUAUCCUACAUUCUGAAGAUGGGGCACAUUUAUCAGGAAUAAGAAACAGGCACGUGGACUAUAAAUAGGGAAAUGAAGUCAAGUGUUGGCAUGGGUUUCAUGUUUUCCAAGAAACAUGAGAAGAACGGGCCUAACACACUCUUUCAUUGCUUGAGCUGGCAUGGUGGUUAAAUUUUUCUAAAACAGUCAUAUUAAUAUGUUCAAAAAUCCACUGCUGAGUCUCAGAGAGAGGGUCACAUCUGGCCAUGAAAAUCUUCUUCUCUGCGGGGUUGCAAUCCAUGCAGCUGUUGCUCACAGGAUGGAAUAAUGUUCUGUCCUGGAGAAGUCAGGAAGAAAAGAAAAGACUAUUGUAAUACGUGGUGAAUGGUUACAACCCAAAAUAUACAGAAGUAAGAUAUUUCUGUUUAUAUUUCAGUAUAUAUUCAUUGUGUAAAUAGAACAGCUCCCAAAUCAAACAAUAGCAGGUGGAGUUGCCAAUGUGGAAUGUGAAUUUGUAGGCUCUAUUGGCACUAUGUAGAGCCUACAAGCAGGUUCAACUAGAGACAAUAAAUGUAUUCAUUCAUUCAUUCAUUCAA